rnacentral:misc_RNA from 1 species
UUUCCGUAGGUGAACCUGCGGAAGGAUCAUUGUCGAAGCCUGCCCAGCAGAACGACCCGCGAACUUGUAUAAACAACCGGGGGCAGGGGCGAUCUCGCCCCGUGCCCUCGAACGGCAGGGAGACACUCGUGCCUUCUUGUUGAACAACGAACCCCGGCGCGGUCUGCGCCAAGGAACUUCAAUUAAAGAGUGCCUCCGGUCGCCUCGGAAACGAUGCGCGUGUCGGAGGCGAAUCUUGUACAAAACCAUAACGACUCUCAGCAACGGAUAUCUCGGCUCUU